AAAACGCUAUUAAAUUCCUGGAAUUAUUUAUUUUAUUAUUGUAAUAAUUAUAAUAAAAUAUUAACAAUGGAUGGAGUUUUGACCUUGCGGUGGAAUAAAAUCCGCGGGUGAUUUUUUAAAAAUGAAUAUUUGAAAUACUAAGCCGAGUUUAACUUUGAGUAAUUUGGGUUUUUAAAUUUAGUUGAUAAAAUGUAAUAUAAUGUAGUAAUUAAAUUAUAUAAUGAAAUAAAAUACAGCAACUGGAUUAUGAUCUUAACACCACGACGCGCAGAGUGACACUGACAGUGCUUUUGUCAUCGUGCUAUCACCACAUGGUCCGCGGCCCGGCGAAUCCGCGGCUUCGGGUAUUUACGCUCGCGCUCGUUGGACUUCGUAUCCGUUUUACUACUUUAUUUGUGUUUAAACUAUCAUAUACAUAGAUAUAUGAGUGUGAGUUUUAAUUCUACACAUAUAUAACCGCAGACGUACCAAUCAACAUGUUUUUUACUCCGAUCUUGCGAGAAAACAAUUAUUAACAAAUCCCACUUUACUAAUAAAUUAAAUUACCGCAGUUUAAAAAUAAAAUAAGACCGCGAAAAAAAAUUUUUAUUAAUUCGUGGUAAAAAAAAUUUGUAAUUAUCAUCAAAAAUUGCUGACGCAACAACCGAUAAUUUUAAUAAAAAAUAUGUAAUUAUAAUAAAUUAACACGCAACAUCGCGCAAUUAGUAUACGCGGAAAAACCGCGAGUUUACGUCAUUGGCGUCAAGUCGAAGUCUUUCCGGUACAUCGAAUCUCUUGUAUUGAGUACAGUACCGGUAUCAUGUGGGCUAAAUAAUUUUCAUAUAUAUCUAUAUAUAUUUAUAUGUGAUGGUCAUAUUGGUACGGUAUUGGCGCGAAUGGCAAAAGAGGAGGUGAUGUGUAAUACCAAGAAUCGAGUGUGCACGAUUGAGUCGCGGUAAUUCCCAGUAAAAAUGAAUGUAAUAUAACAGAAGCCACCUUUCAUUUUUAUAUUAUACCUUCAGCUGACUUAUUAUUACUUUAGCAUUAGCAUUAACAUCAGCGUUAGCAUUUGAAGCUGAGAAAUAUACCAAUAUUAUUUAUCCGCAGCUAAUGUAUAUAAAAUAAUUGUUUAUAAUGUAAUGCAAAGCUUGGCCUUCUCAAUAUCUUUUUACAUCACGUACAAUAAAUUUACUAUUGCAUACUUUUUUUCAAGGACAUGAGAAAAUUAGAGAUGAUCUUUCUCAGUCUUCUGGGCACAACGGCCGAGAAUUCCAGAGUUCUGACGCAACUUCGAAGGCAUUUCCGACGCGUAUGCUGCACUCUUCGACAACCUCCUCUUUUGAGAGAAGGCCACCACAUAUAAUCGCAUUUAUACAUAUAUAUAUAUGGGUAUAUGUAUAAUCGAUUUCGCGAAACUCCGGAACUGUUGCGGUAUCAGUGGAAUUAAAAAAUCCGGAUUUUCGGUGUCCUUAUUCCACAUAUAUAUAAAUAUAUGUACUUUUAAAAGGAAAUCCUGGGAACAGAGAAAGGAGGCAACGUCUCUGACGUCAUACAGUCUUCAUAUUAGCACAUAACGGCACAAGAGAAAGAAAGAGAAGCAGAGACAGAAAGUUUGAGAGUGAGAGGGAGGGAAAAUUCAUCGGAAAUUUUUUCUCUAUCUGUUAAUGUUAACGCGCGUUGACGUCACUGGGAUUUCAAAACUUUUACAGAUAAAGGAAAAAAAAAAAAAUUAUAGUCUCAUUAAUUAAUUAGUUAAAUUUUGAAUUAACGAUUAUCGAAUUAUGAAAUAAUAUUUUUGAUUUAUUGACACUUGAUACAGUCAUCAAAGAAAUCUCGGCCGCGAAAUGACUAAUCACAACUUCCGUGGCCGUAAGGCUCGUAGUAUAUCAAAUGUUAAUAAUGGUACAAUGAGUCUGGUAUGUAAAGAAGGCCGAGAGGCAAAGAGCGCAAGUGUAUAGUAAAUACAUAAAUACAUAUGUAUAUAUAUUAAUAAUAUAAAUGUAAGGAGUAUUUAGUGUUGGUUGGUUGGUUUGUUAGUUGAGGUGUAACGUGUAGUAGAUUUUCAUUCAUAAAUUGAGCCGAGUUGAAGCUGCCACCAAGUACAAGUAAAGUAAGAUGACUCAUCAGAGCGUGCUGCGGUACGUGUACGCGAAUCUGAGGUAAUCGCAACUAAAAUAAAACAAGUACACUUGAGCACAGACAUUUAUUAAAUGUCUUCGAUAAUUUAUCUCGCUCACUCUGCACACAUUUUAUUUAUUGGGUUCAUUUAUUACUGAAUACUCUCCGUAUUUAAACUCGGAAAAUUUAAUUUAACAGCCGAGUCUCGCCCCUGAUUCCCCUGUUAUUUAUUGUUUGCUCACUGACGUGGCUCAGCGAGACACGCGAACAAGUGUGUCAUGAUAAAUAUUGACAAUUUAAUUAAUUGAUAUACAUUUACGACCGGAAGUCAAAUCAUUGGAGUAGAAUAAUUUUUUGUGGGAUUGAGACAGAGAAAUUUGAUGGGAGAGACGAUUGAAAUGAGGGUGAGGGAUUAAAGACCUAAUUAAUAUAUCGAGAGCAUUUCUUGAGACAGUGGAGAUAAAGCAGGAUGGCACCUUUUGGCUUAUGACCCGCUAAAGUAACUCACGACUAAAACUUAACCCUGGUUUGUUAAACUAAACCCUCUAAUUGACGGGUUAACGAGCGUUAACUCCUCGCUUCCUGUCAGAUUUUAACGUUUUCCUUCAGUUUCUCGAUUCAACUGGCUCUGUAUGUAUUAAUAUUGAGUCUCCCAUUAAAAGACACUCCUUAAAGAUAAAGUUUCUUAUACAAAUAGCAAAUAUUUUUCUUUCAUAUAUAAAUAGCUUUCAAGUGUAUCGAAUGUGGAAUUAAUGCGGUAUCUUGUAGGUGUCAAAGAAAUUUCUUAUUGACAACAAAAAAAAAAAAAAAAAAUACUUGGCAAUUGAAAUUCAGACAAUUAAAAUUAUUUUUAACGAUUGAAGAUAAAAAAAAACGAUUUUUAUAUUUGCAAGUUGAAGAAAUAAAUUUACUAAAAAUAUCACGAGUUUUAAAAUUCGCAAAUCUUGACCUCGGACACCUUGAACUUAAAUAUAUGAAUGAACAAUUAUGUUUAACAUUUAAAUAGCACUUAUGCUGGUUCAAUGCAAAUAACAAUGACGGUCAAAGACAUUUUACAAGAUACAUAAACGAAAGUUUGACUUUUCUAGAUCAACCUAAUUUGAAUAAAUUCACGAGCAUUCUAUUACGCUGCAAUAAUUAUUAAAUUAUUCUAAACAAAGUGAAUUAUUUACAAUUUAUAAUUAUGCUCCAAAGCUGCUUUUACAAGUAAACACAGUUGACUUUUGCAUUUAAACUUUAAACUUUUUUAAAUUUAAAUUAAAAAUUUUUUAGUUUAUUUAUGUUAUUGCUUACCAUAACAUUUUCAUCUUUAGUCAAUUGCCAUGAGUCAAUAUGAUCAGACAUUGGAUAAAGUGUCGCCGGAGUAUAAUAACCAUGAUCGUCAACCAUAACGUCAAAUAAACCCGUAUUGGGAACACGUUGUGACAUCAAUUGUCCAUUUAUCAGAUAAUUACUUGAAUCCCAAUUAUCCGUGUCCAUUCGUAACGAAUGAAAAAAAUCGCACUAACGAUUUAACACUUGACAGAAAAUAAAUCAGCAACAAAAUUCAAAAAAUUUUUGCUAUUUAAUUUUACUGAACUUGAAACUUGUCUCGUAAUCCAAGUUAGCGGGAAUUAAAUGACACUUAUCAAGUUGUCACUGGUGAAAAAAAAAAUUGUAACAGCAACAGUAGCUAAUAAAAUUUAUUGACAGUAUUUACAACGAGUAGUAACCCGAUGAAGAUUGUCGCUGUUGACUGAGCGCGCCAACGUGACUCUGAAACUAUAUAGAUAGCGAACGGACGACAUGAGCGACCUCCCACUACUAAAAAAGCCGCACCAAGUGCCCCAAUCAACGGGUCGGUUUCGAGGAAACGCGACACGCGCGCGCAACAACUUCAACUAGACCGGUAACUUGGACACGUUGCGUAACAGUGACGUGAUAAAUGAGAGGCAAUUAUGAAAAAUUCAACGAAUUCACGUGAGCCUUUCUCAGAAUCGGGAAGAUGACUCAUAGACUUACUGGCGGGUUUAAGUGGGCGUUUUUGUAUAUUAUAUAUAUAUGUAUAUGUAUAAAUAUAUAUACUUUAGCUUUAGAAAGAGUGGUAGGUAGACUAGGAUGACCGGACCGGGUAUCCGGAACAUAUUGAACGACAGCAUGACUCAUUUAUUUAGUAUGCUAAAUAUUUUCGCGGGUGGCUCGUUAAUAUGACAUUCAAUAUUUUGAAUUUUUAAAUCCCAAGUUCAGGGAACUGGAAGAUUUUAAUUGACCACAAAUAUUUUAUUUAUUUACUCCUGUCAUCUCUACACUUCAGCUGACGGAUGCAGAGAGCGAUUGGUUUAAAGCGAAGUAAAUUUCAAAUUUGAACACAUUAAGGUCAAGGUAUCCUUGGACUAGCUUUUACGCUAGCUCAAGGUUCGAUGCUACACUGAAAAGAUUUAUCUUCAAACUGAUGUAAAGUAUUUUAUAUAUAUGAAAAAAGAAGAAAAAAAUUAUAGAUAAAUAAUGUGGCAUCCGAGGAGGAAUUUCAUUGCCGCUGAUGGAGGUAAUGGAAUAAAAUACCCGUUUAGUCUGAAGGAAAUUGACAAUCUGGGCCUUGAAAGACUGAAGACCUCAUGUUGGUGUAAUGGAAAAACUAAUGUUUACUUUUUUAUUCAAAGACUACUUACUGUCACAAAGAAAAUAAGUACAUUGUGUCGCACUUCCUCGUAUCUUAUCAUAAUUUUAUACAAAACACGAGCUACAUAUUUUUCUUUUAGCGAGAUUGUUGUUAAAACAAUUUGUCCAUACAGUUUUAUUUAAAUUUACGAUUUAAUUUAAAUGUCGUGCUAUUUUAAAUCGUGGAACUGUGAAAAUUAAGAUUAAGGAAGCCUUGAAAAUUAUUAUCAGCUAAAUACUUUAGAUAAGACAUCUAUUGUAAAUCUUUAAACAGUUAUAGUUCUAUUUAAUUUUUCAUAUCGAGUACUAAGAUUUUAAAAUAAAUGUAACUUUUGCUGAGAUAUAAACUCUAAGUGUUUCUCACGCGUGCAAAAUAAUUGCGUCACUGGUAUGCACGGUGACUUUGCGGAAUCGAGAUAAUAAACAAUAACAAUAAACAACAGAAAUAUCUUCGAUGAAUACCAAUAAAGUUGAUACCAUAUACGACUAGUUUUAAAAAUAAAUAAAUCUUUUCCUGCAAUAAGUAAAAUACGUAAAUGCCUAAAGAAAUUUAGAAAGAAAGUAUUGCAUACAUGGAUUCUAAAUAAAGUAACAACAAAAGUACUUUGUUAUCCAGCUGAGGAGCCAGCACAUAUAUUUUUUUUAUUGUAAAUUGUAUAUGGAACAAAACCGAGCGUGUGGAAUUGUUAAAGUCGAGCAAAAUGAGUCAACUGUAUAUAAGUUGAGUGGAAAAAAAAAAUUAUGUACGCACGUGCGACACGGCUGACCACACACGAUCUACACUAGCUGGUCUUUUGAGCCGCUGGUUCAAGACAAAGGGCUCCAGUAGCAGCAAAAUAAUCCGUUAUAUCGCAUAUGCUGUCAAGACGACUUAGCUCGUGUUUAAAUUAAAUCCGUAUCGAAUUUUCUUACGAAACACAUUCUUUUGUGAGGAAAAAGAACCAAGUAAUCCGCGAGACCACCGUAUUUGUACUACUAGCGGUUUUAAAAACCUAAACAUUGAAAUUAGCAUAUGAAAAAUAACUUCCAGCUCGGCAAUGACUUAAAAGUUUGAAUAAAGGAAAAUUGUCGUACGUUUAAGAUUGAAUGGAUGUAGUAAAAAACAGGCCUUGGAAACAAAAGCGCGAGCUACCAGGUGCGCGAACGUCUUAUCGAAUCGCGUGAGCUUCUUUAUCAAUUUUAUUUCCGUCGCUGAUGUAAAGUAAUCAGACAUUUUUACUGCCGCGAUUACCAGAGAGAGCCAACUUGGAAGAUGACGAAAUGCAAUUGACAUCCUUUGUUCUUUAUUCCAUUGUGCGCUGAAAAAAAAAAUAUAUAUAUAUGCUUAUUUAUAAAUAUAAUUAUGGUAUUAGUAUAUUAGCGAUUAUUAUUUUUUUAUUUAUUUUUAAUACUUACAAAGACAUCAUUGAGUUCUGUCGCGUAAAUUUUUAAUAUUUUUUUUUUCUCAAGUAUUUACGUUUUCAAAUCAAAUAUUAACCGGUCAUUGUAUGUUAAGCACGUUGUUGUAUUAUUUACUGUACAUAAAGACGGUCUAUUGACAAAGGACAGAAAAAAAGACAUUUGAUAUAUUGUAAAAGUUAAAUUUUAACUUAUCAAGAUUGUCCUUUAAGGCACGCGACGAAUUUACCUUAUGAAUAAAAAUUAGUCAGCUUAAAAAUUAAUGCAAAUUAAAAAAAAA